rnacentral:rRNA from 1 species
CCUACGGGAGGCAGCAGUGGGGAAUCUUGCGCAAUGGGCGAAAGCCUGACGCAGCAACGCCGCGUGCGGGAAGAAGGCUUUCGGGCUGUAAACCGCUUUCAGCAGGAACGAAAAUGACGGUACCUGCAGAAGAAGGAGCGGCCAACUAUGUGCCAGCAGCCGCGGUGAUACAUAGGCUUCAAGCGUUGUCCGGAUUUAUUGGGCGUAAAGAGUUCGUAGGCGGUCGAGUAAGUCGGGUGUGAAAAUUCUGGGCUCAACCCAGAGACGCCACCCGAUACUGCUUAACUUGAGUUCGAUAGGGGAGUGGGGAAUUCCUAGUGUAGCGGUGAAAUGCGCAGAUAUUAGGAGGAACACCGGUGGCGAAGGCGCCACUCUGGAUCGAUACUGACGCUGAGGAACGAAAGCAUGGGUAGCAAACAGGAUUAGAUACCCUGGUAGUCCAUGCCGUAAACGGUGGGCACUAGGUGUGGGAUUCUAUUAACGAAUUCCGCGCCGUCGCUAACGCAUUAAGUGCCCCGCCUGGGGAGUACGGUCGCAAGACUAAAACCCCAAAUGAAUUGACGG